GUCCUUUCUUUGGCAGCACACAUACUAAAAUUGGAAUGAUACAGAGAAAAUUAACAUGGCCUUUGUGCAAGUAUAACAUUCAAAUUUGUGAAGCAAUCCACAUUUUA